AUGUGGGCUGCUAUCUGCCGCGAUACAGAUGGUUCAUAUCUGAGUUCUUCUGUUUUGCUCAUACAUGGACUCAUCAACCCUCCUACGCUUGAAGCUUUGGCAUGUAGGGAAGCUCUUUCCCUGGCACAAGACCUUGCGAUGCAACAUAUUCAGGUGGCUUUCAAUUGCAAGCGGGUUGUCAAUCACAUUCAUCAGCAGGCUGGAGGGAAUUAUGGUUUACCUUUUGCAAUUUUGGGGUUUGAACCUCGAGCUUCAAAUUCCGAAGCUGAUAACAUAGCUAGAUAUGGUGUUCUUCUUCCUCAUGGAAGGCAUCUG
rnacentral:rRNA from 1 species